rnacentral:lncRNA from 1 species
AAGUCUAUGGCAGGCGAUACGAGAGCCCCGCAAACCUCAACGCGUCACGCUGCCAUCCUCCGAACAGGAAGACGGCGAGGCGCAAAAUACCAACCCGUCCCCUCUUCCCAAAUGCAGAAAAACCCUUGCCUGUUCCGCGCCUAAGCUGCCCUCGGGGUCUCCUACUGCGGGAAGGGCACAGCAGGUGGCAGCCCCUGUCCCAGCCGUGGGAUUCCUUCCCCGAAAUUGUGGGGGGAGAACACAAGGGGUAGUGUCACCAAGCGGCCAGUAGGAGACCCUCCCACCCUCCUGCGACUGCUGGUUCGGGUCCACCCCGGGCGGAGGGGGAAGGGGCCACCGGAGCGCAGGUGGUCUCGGCGCAGCCUCCUGGGGCUGGGACCCAGGGGCGCUGAUGGGGUACCCCGAGGCGUAGGCCGCGCCCCCCUAAAAGCUGAGCAUAUCUGGGCUCCCGAGUAAUGCUCCAAGCGCAGAGCUCGGUGUGACACUGACCAAAUUGUUACCUCAGAUAUUAAUUACGGACAGAUAUUAAUUACGGAACAAUAAAACGGUGAGAAAGCACGGCUGAUCCGAAUUCCGCGAGUGUGUAAACAGCACUGGGGCGGGCCCGGCUUCUCGGGGUUUCUAAAGGAAGGUGGGCAAGGAGGCCCAGGCAACCGGGCGCUCGAACCCCAAAGGGCCGGCAUCAGGCUAGGUGCCGCCCGGGGCUGAAGCGCAGGGACCCCCUCCCCACCUCCCC